rnacentral:tRNA from 1 species
GCCUCCUUAGCUCAGCUGGUAGAGCAACUGACUUGUAAUCAGUAGGUCAUUGGUUCGAUUCCGAUAGGAAGCU